UGACGAUUCAGAAAAGUCGAC
ensembl:piRNA 21ur-778 ncRNA